UACGUAGGGUGCAAGCGUUAAUCGGAAUUACUGGGCGUAAAGCGUGCGCAGGCGGUUUUGUAAGUUUGUCGUGAAAUCCCCGGGCUCAACCUGGGAAUGGCGAUGAAGACUGCAAGGCUAGAAUCUGGCAGAGGGGGGUAGAAUUCCACGUGUAGCAGUGAAAUGCGUAGAGAUGUGGAGGAACACCGGUGGCGAAGGCGGCUACCUGGCCCAACAUUGACACUGAGACCCGAAAGCGUGGGAUCAACAGG
rnacentral:rRNA from 1 species